rnacentral:rRNA from 1 species
UACGUAGGUGGCGAGCGUUGUCCGGAUUCAUUGGGCGUAAAGAGCCCGCAGGCGGCCUGUUAAGUUUCAGGUGAAAUCUCCCGGCUCAACUGGGAGGGGUCCUGGAAAACUGGCAGGCUUGAGGCAGGGAGAGGGAUGUGGAAUUCCCGGUGUAGUGGUGAAAUGCGUAGAUAUCGGGAGGAACACCAGUGGCGAAGGCGGCAUCCUGGCCCUGUCCUGACGCUCAGGGGCGAAAGCGUGGGGAGCAAAC